CCUACGGGAGGCAGCAGUGAGGAAUAUUGGUCAAUGGACGAGAGUCUGAACCAGCCAAGUAGCGUGAAGGAUGACUGCCCUAUGGGUUGUAAACUUCUUUUAUAUGGGAGUAAAAUGUUCCACGUGUGGGAUUUUGUAUGUACCAUAUGAAUAAGGAUCGGCUAACUCCGUGCCAGCAGCCGCGGUAAUACGGAGGAUUCAAGCGUUAUCCGGAUUUAUUGGGUUUAAAGGGAGCGUAGGUGGAUGGUUAAGUCAGUUGUGAAAGUUUGCGGCUCAACCUUAAAAUUGCAGUUGAAACUGGCAGUCUUGAGUACAGUAGAGGUGGGCGGAAUGCGUGGUGUAGCGGUGAAAUGCUUAGAUAUCACGAAGAACUCCGAUUGCGAAGGCAGUUCACUGGACUGCAACUGACACUGAGGCUCGAAAGUGUGGGUAUCAAACAGGAUUAGAUACCCGGGUAGUC
rnacentral:rRNA from 1 species